rnacentral:lncRNA from 1 species
CGCAAAAAAUCAAUCCCUGUGGCCAAAACAUCAACAAUUCUUGAGAUCUUUGAUACUCCAAUUGCGAGCACACAAACAACAAGUGUCUGCGAUUUACAGCAGUUUUAAAAACCACAUCUCAGCCAUCACUGCAAAUUAAAAUCAUGUUUGGCAAACACAGUUAAUCUCAAGACUCGGAAUACACAACCCAACUAGUACCACCCGCAGUCUUCACUCCUUUCUCUUUCAUUUCCCUUAUCAUUCUAUCAGCCUCCAAGAAUUACAUAUUUAACAAACAUUUUACCGACUCUCUCAUUGUGGCCGAUACCAAAAGAGUGUCGAUACCAAUAUUGUUAUUUACAUUUCUUAUGAUAAAGAAUAUAUUAUGAUUAAUUCAUACGGCGAUUACCGCAAUUAGUGUUGCAACACCUCUAUCGAUUAAAAUUGCAAAAACCUUAGCGGGUAGUCGGAACUUUAUAUGCCUACAAAGAAUGCUUAUUUAGUUUAGAACAUCCCCGAUAGUACUGUAGGAAAGUUUUAUUUUUAAAUUAUGAUCCGCAAAAACAAUUGUUGGCAUGUUAGAUCCCAUGAUUUUUUAACUUUGCAUUCCUUUAGAAGCUCAGUAGUAGCCUCAAAACUAUCUCAUGUCCAACACAUCCACCGCAAAAAAUCAAUCCCUGUGGCCAAAACAUCAACAAUUCUUGAGAUCUUUGAUACUCCAAUUGCGAGCACACAAACAACAAGUGUCUGCGAUUUACAGCAGUUUUAAAAACCACAUCUCAGCCAAGACUGCAAAUUAAAAUCAUGUUUGGCAAACACAGUUAAUCUCAAGACUCGGAAUACACAACCCAACUAGUACCACCCGCAGUCUUCACUCCUUUCUCUUUCAUUUCCCUUAUCAUUCUAUCAGCCUCCUCCUGUCUCCCAACACUAGCAUAAAN